rnacentral:rRNA from 1 species
UACGUAGGGUGCAAGCGUUGUCCGGAAUUAUUGGGCGUAAAGAGCUCGUAGGCGGUUCGUCGCGUCGGCUGUGAAAACCUGAGGCUCAACCUCAGGCCUGCAGUCGAUACGGGCGGACUUGAGUACUGCAGGGGAGACUGGAAUUCCUGGUGUAGCGGUGAAAUGCGCAGAUAUCAGGUGGAACACCGGUGGCGAAGGCGGGUCUCUGGGCCGUAACUGACGCUGAGGAGCGAAAGCGUGGGGAGCGAACAGG